rnacentral:rRNA from 1 species
AACGAACGCUGGCGGCAGGCCUAACACAUGCAAGUCGAGCGCCCCGCAAGGGGAGCGGCGGACGGGUGAGUAACGCGUGGGAACGUACCCUUUGCUACGGAAUAGCCUCGGGAAACUGGGAGUAAUACCGUAUGUGCCCUUCGGGGGAAAGAUUUAUCGGCAAAGGAUCGGCCCGCGUUGGAUUAGGUAGUUGGUGGGGUAAUGGCCUACCAAGCCGACGAUCCAUAACUGGUUUGAGAGGAUGAUCAGCCACACUGGGACUGAGACACGGCCCAGACUCCUACGGGAGGCAGCAGUGGGGGAAUCUUAGACAAUGGGCGCAAGCCUGAUCUAGCCAUGCCGCGUGAGCGAUGAAGGCCUUAGGGUUGUAAAGCUCUUUCAGUGGGGAAGAUAAUGACUGUACCCACAGAAGAAGCCCCGGCUAACUCCGUG